rnacentral:lncRNA from 1 species
CGGCAACUGUUGUAGUCCUGAUUAGCCACUGUUUAUUGCUACAUAUAUUCGGUUAACCGAUAUCACUUCUGCUGUACCUUUUGGUGUUGAGACAACUGUUGUAGUCCUGAUUAACCACUGUGCAUUGCUACAUGUAUUCGAUCUGAUAAAUCUUUAUUUGUUGUUAUAUUUUAUUUCGUUUGAAUUAGCUGUGCUUUGAACAAAAU